rnacentral:rRNA from 1 species
GCCAGACUCCUACGGGAGGCAGCAGUGGGGAAUAUUGCACAAUGGGGGAAACCCUGAUGCAGCGACGCCGCGUGAGUGAAGAAGUAUUUCGGUAUGUAAAGCUCUAUCAGCAGGGAAGAAAAUGACGGUACCUGAUUAAGAAGCCCCGGCUAACUACGUGCCAGCAGCCGCGGUAAUACGUAGGGGGCAAGCGUUAUCCGGAUUCACUGGGUGUAAAGGGAGCGUAGACGGCGAGACAAGUCUGGAGUGAAAGGCCGGGGCCCAACCCCGGGACUGCUCUGGAAACUGCCUGGCUGGAGUACAGGAGAGGUAAGUGGAAUUCCUAGUGUAGCGGUGAAAUGCGUAGAUAUUAGGAGGAACACCAGUGGCGAAGGCGGCUUACUGGACUGUAACUGACGUUGAGGCUCGAAAGCGUGGGGAGCAAACAGGAUUAGAUACCCUGGUA